rnacentral:misc_RNA from 1 species
GAUGAAGAACGCAGCGAAAUGCGAUAAGUAAUGUGAAUUGCAGAAUUCAGUGAAUCAUCGAAUCUUUGAAUGCACAUUGCGCCCGCCAGUAUUCUGGCGGGCAUGCCUGUUCGAGCGUCAUUUCAACCAUCAAGCCCUGCUUGCGUUGGGGUCCUGCGGCUGCCCGCAGGCCCUGAAAACCAGUGGCGGGCUCGCUAGUCACACCGAGCGCAGUAAUACAUCUCGCUUUGGGCGUGCGGCGGGUUCUUGCCGUUAAACACCCCCUUUUUACCAAGGUUGACCUCGGAUCAGGUAGGAAUACCCGCUGAACUUAAGCAUAUCAAUAAGCGGAGGA